AUUUUGCUGGAGGUCUCUGCCUACCUGAGGCCUUCUAAAGUUUAGGUACCAAGAUUGCUUCUGUCAGAUUCACUGAUGUCAAAAUGUGAAUUGAAGUAUAUUUUCUGCAAUUGUGACCUUGAGCAACAGCAAAUGAAAACAGAAGUGCUGCAUUGAAAUUCAGAAGGGGAUGCCUGUCUGCCCCCUCUUCACUUUCACCAAGUGCUGAUUCCAGUCAGAGCCUCAGGCUACUGGAUUAAAGACCUCAUUUCUUAUACUUCCUGCUGGCUUCUGCUGAGAAAAGACAGUUCCUGAAUGGUGCACAGUUUCUUAAUACCAGUUUAUCUUUUAAGAUGAUUUCUUACUCUCCUAGGUGGUUUUCUUCUUCCCCCCAGUUAAUAGUUCUUCCAUCAACUCUACUUACGCACUCAUGAGUAAUCUGCACCCAUUUUGAGAGAUGUGCCUUACACCAAGAGAACAGCCUGUGAGCAGAAGUACAAAAAUUGAAGCUUAGAGCUGGAACAAAUCAGGCAAUAGCAACUGCACACAGAUGAGUGGGCACAGCCUUUGAAAACAUGAGGGACAAGUAAGUAUAUGAAACUGUGCCAGUUUGUGUCUUAUGUAUCAAGCACUAAAUGUGCGUUGCUGGAGGAGAACUGAUUUUUAGGCGUUGCUUCAAGACAUCUCAAAUUUUCAGAAGCAGGGCAGCUUGACUUGCAUCUUGUUAGUUUAUUCACAUACCAAUGGCAUUAGUUAUUUUUUGAUACAUUACGUGUAGGGAAAAUGGUUUCUAAUUCAGUGCAGUCUCCAGACACAUGUAAGUGGUAAUUUCUCCAGGCAGCAGAGAUUUAUUUUUCUGUCAGCAUUUCUUGGAAUCAGGAAAAUCAAAAGUCUUGCAAUGAUUUUUUUUUCUUUUUAAAGGAAUGAUGAUAAAUGAGAAGUACUAUUAUUGUUGUUUUUUUUAUUCUGUCUGUACCUAUUAGGGUGUUCACAGAAUGGGGCCAUUAAAUGUCUUUCAAAGAAGUGAAAUACUACCCUUUGACAUGGGGUAUUGUCAAUUUCUUUUGCAUGAGUUGGGUUGUUGGCCAGAUCAGUUUUUUUAGAGGCUAAGAUGUUGUAAAAAAUAGUAUGUUUGCAUUUACAAUGUACAUGUUAUGUAUGUGUAUAAUAUACUUGUGUAUGCACACACACAUUCCUUUGAAAUUCUGAGAAGCAUCCAGAAAUGUAUGUUACACAUGUAUAGAAAGUAAUAAAUAUUAUUUUUA